GAUGAACGCUGGCGGCGUGCUUAACACAUGCAAGUCGAACGAAGCAUUUGCGACAGAUUUUUUCGGAAUGAAGUUGCUUAUGACUGAGUGGCGGACGGGUGAGUAACGCGUGGGUAACCUGCCUUGUACUGGGGGAUAGCAGCUGGAAACGGCUGGUAAUACCGCAUAAGCGCACAAUGUUGCAUGACAUGGUGUGAAAAACUCCGGUGGUAUAAGAUGGACCCGCGUCUGAUUAGCUAGUUGGUGAGAUAACAGCCCACCAAGGCGACGAUCAGUAGCCGACCUGAGAGGGUGACCGGACACAUUGGGACUGAGACACGGCCCAGACUCCUACGGGAGGCAGCAGUGGGGAAUAUUGCACAAUGGAGGAAACUCUGAUGCAGCGACGCCGCGUGAGUGAAGAAGUAAUUCGUUAUGUAAAGCUCUAUCAGCAGGGAAGAUAGUGACGGUACCUGACUAAGAAGCUCCGGCUAAAUACGUG
rnacentral:rRNA from 1 species